GAUGAACAUUAGCGGCAGGCCUAAUACAUGCAAGUGGAGAGGGGGUCUUCGGACAUAGUGGCGCACGGGUGCGUAACACGUAUGCAACCUACCUUACAUGGGGGGAUAGCCUUUCGAAAGGGAGAUUAAUACCGCAUAAGACAGUAGCUGGGCAUCCAGCAGCUGUUAAAGAUUUAUCGAUGUAAGAUGGGCAUGCGUCCAAUUAGUUAGUUGGCGAGGUAACGGCUCACCAAGACUUUGAUUGGUAGGGGAACUGAGAGGUCAAUCCCCCACACUGGCACUGAGAUACGGGCCAGACUCCUACGGGAGGCAGCAGUAGGGAAUAUUGGGCAAUGGACGCAAGUCUGACCCAGCCAUGCCGCGUGCAGGAUGAAGGCGUUAUGCGUUGUAAACUGCUUUUAUACAGGAAGAAACGACUCUUGCGAGAGGCAUUGACGGUACUGUAUGAAUAAGCACCGGCUAACUCCGUGCCAGCAGCCGCGGUAAUACGGAGGGUGCAAGCGUUGUCCGGAUUUAUUGGGUUUAAAGGGUGCGCAGGUGGUUUAUUAAGUCAGUGGUGAAAGACGGUCGCUCAACGAUUGCAGUGCCAUUGAAACUGGUAGACUUGAGUAAAGUAGAGGUGGGCGGAAUUGAUAGUGUAGCGGUGAAAUGCAUAGAUAUUAUCAAGAACUCCAAUUGCGUAGGCAGCUCACUUGGCUUUUACUGACACUCAUGCACGAAAGUGUGGGUAUCAAACAGGAUUAGAUACCCUGGUAGUCCACACUGUAAACGAUGAUAACUAGGUGUCGGCCGAAUCUGGUCGGUGCCACAGCGAAAGCGUUAAG
rnacentral:rRNA from 1 species